rnacentral:lncRNA from 1 species
UAGAGGCAACCAGUGAAGUGGGUUCUAUUAUUGCCCUGUCUCAUGGAUGAGGCAACCAAGCAUCAGAGAUGUUAAAAGAAGCAUGUGCCGGUUCAUACAGCUGGUGGUGAAACUGUGGCCAGUGAGCUCAAGAGAAAUCCUGGGAGGAAAAAAACCCUUUUAUCCCUGAUAUAAAAAAUGCAUGAGGAGAAACUGCCCUUCCUUACGGCCUUUCGAUAUUCCUGGGGAAAAAUGUGAUGGUUGCAGCUGCAGUAGGUUUUUGUCAUUAAUACAAAAGAUGGCAGAGACAAGACAGGAAAAACACCGACCUCCUCAGUGACAUUGCUGAGUCUGGGAAACAAUCCUGCAACCUCCUUACUGCUCUGGACUUCUUAUUGGUAAAAUAGUUUGGGUUUUUUUUUCUUUUUACAUUGAGACAGGGUCUUGUUCUGUCUCCCAGGCUGGGGUGCAGUGGCGUGAUCUCAGCUCACUGCAACCUCUGCCUUCUGGGCUCAGAUGAUCCUCCCCUCUCGGCCUCCUGAGUAGCUGGGACCACAGGCAUGUGCCAUCAUGCCCAGCUAACUUUUGUAUUUUUUUUGUAGCAACAGGAUUUUCCCAUGUUACCCGGGCUGGUCUUGGAUUCCUGGGCCCAAGUGAUCCACCCACCAUGGCUUCCCAAAGUGCUGGGAUCACAGGAGUGAGCUGCUGUGCCUGGCCUAAAACAGUUUCUUUUAAAAAUUUACUAUUGUCCCGGCGUGGUGGCUCAUACCUGUAAUCCCAGCACUUUGGGAGGCUGAGGUGGGUGAAUCACGAGGUCAGGAGUUUGAGACCAGCCUGGCCAACACAGUGAAACCCCAUCUCUACUAAAAAUACAAAAAAUUAGCUGUGUGUAGUGGUGGGCACCUGUAAUCCCAGCUACUUGAGAGGCUGAGGCAGGAGAAUCACUUGAACCUGGGAGAUGAAGGUUGCAGUGAGCUGAGAUCAUGCCACUGCAGUCCAGCCUGGGUGACAGAGUGAGACUUUGUCUCAGAAACAAAAUAAAUAAAUA